rnacentral:rRNA from 1 species
GAUGAACGCUGACAGAAUGCUUAACACAUGCAAGUCAACUUGAACUUCGGUUUGGGUGGCGGACGGGUGAGUAACGCGUAAAGAACUUGCCUCACAGAUAGGGACAACAUUGGGAAACGAAUGCUAAUACCUGAUAUUAUGAUUUUAGGGCAUCCUAGGAUUAUGAAAGCUAUAUGCGCUGUGAGAGAGCUUUGCGUCCCAUUAGCUAGUUGGAGAGGUAACGGCUCACCAAGGCGAUGAUGGGUAGCCGGCCUGAGAGGGUGAUCGGCCACAAGGGGACUGAGACACGGCCCUUACUCCUACGGGAGGCAGCAGUGGGGAAUAUUGGACAAUGGACCAAGAGUCUGAUCCAGCAAUUCUGUGUGCACGAUGAAGUUUUUCGGAAUGUAAAGUGCUUUCAGUUGGGAAGAAAAAAAUGACGGUACCAACAGAAGAAGUGACGGCUAAAUACGUGCCAGCAGCCGCGGUAAUACGUAUGUCACAAGCGUUAUCCGGAUUUAUUGGGCGUAAAGCGCGUCUAGGUGGUUAUAUAAGUCUGAUGUGAAAAUGCAGGGCUCAACUCUGUAUUGCGUUGGAAACUGUGUAACUAGAGUACUGGAGAGGUAAGCGGAACUACAAGUGUAGAGGUGAAAUUCGUAGAUAUUUGUAGGAAUGCCAAUGGGGAAGCCAGCUUACUGGACAGAUACUGACGCUGAAGCGCGAAAGCGUGGGUAGCAAACAGG